UUACCGAGUUUACAACUCCCAAACCCAAUGUGAACCAUACCAAACUGUUGCCUCGGCGGGGUCACGCCCCGGGUGCGUCGCAGCCCCGGAACCAGGCGCCCGCCGGAGGGACCAACCAAACUCUUUUCUGUAGUCCCCUCGCGGACGUUAUUUCUUACAGCUCUGAGCAAAAAUUCAAAAUGAAUCAAAACUUUCAACAACGGAUCUCUUGGUUCUGGCAUCGAUGAAGAACGCAGCGAAAUGCGAUAAGUAAUGUGAAUUGCAGAAUUCAGUGAAUCAUCGAAUCUUUGAACGCACAUUGCGCCCGCCAGUAUUCUGGCGGGCAUGCCUGUCCGAGCGUCAUUUCAACCCUCGAACCCCUCCGGGGGGUCGGCGUUGGGGACCUCGGGAGCCCCUAAGACGGGAUCCCGGCCCCGAAAUACAGUGGCGGUCUCGCCGCAGCCUCUCCUGCGCAGUAGUUUGCACAACUCGCACCGGGAGCGCGGCGCGUCCACGUCCGUAAAACACCCAACUUCUGAAAUGUUGACCUCGGAUCAGGUAGGAAUACCCGCUGAACUUAAGCAUAUCAAUA
rnacentral:rRNA from 1 species